CGGUUGAUCCUGCCGGACCCCACCGCUAUCGGGGUAAGACUAAGACAUGCAAGUCGUGCGCUUUUCAGCCAUGGGAAAAGCGCGGCGAACGGCUCCGUAACACGUGGCUAACCUGCCCUUGGGACGGGGACAACCCCGGAAAACUGGGGCUAAUCCCCGAUAGGGGAAAACUCCUGGAAUGGAUUUUCCCCGAAAGGGCGUCUAGACCAUGCUUCUAGGCGUCGCCCAAGGAUGGGGCCGCGGCCGAUCAGGUUGUUGGUGAGGUAACGGCUCACCAAGCCUAUAACCGGUACGGGCCGUGAGAGCGGGAGCCCGGAGAUGGGCACUGAGACAAGGGCCCAGGCCCUACGGGGCGCAGCAGUCGCGAAAACUCUGCAAUGCGCGAAAGCGCGACAGGGUUACCCCGAGUGUCGUCCGCUGAGGACGACUUUUCCCCAGUGUAGAUAGCUGGGGGAAUAAGGAGAGGGCAAGUCUGGUGUCAGCCGCCGCGGUAAUACCAGCUCUCCGAGUGGUGGGGACGCUUAUUGGGCCUAAAGCAUCCGUAGCCGGUCUAACAAGUCCCUUGUUAAAUCCAGCGAUUCAAUCGCUGGACUGCAAGGGAUACUGUUAGACUAGGGGGCGGGAGAGGCCGACGGUAUUCCCGGGGUAGGGGUGAAAU
rnacentral:rRNA from 1 species